rnacentral:pre_miRNA from 1 species
CUUAAGUCCUGUUUAGGACAGCUGCUGCCAAACCUACAUUAUAGGAGAGAUUUUCUCCUAAAAUACAGGUUUGGGGCAGCUGUCCUAAACGGGCCUAUAG